rnacentral:rRNA from 1 species
UACGUAGGGAGCGAGCGUUAAUCGGAAUUACUGGGCGUAAAGCGUGCGCAGGCGGUGAUGUAAGACAGGUGUGAAAUCCCCGGGCUUAACCUGGGAACUGCAUUUGUGACUGCAUCGCUGGAGUGCGGCAGAGGGGGAUGGAAUUCCGCGUGUAGCAGUGAAAUGCGUAGAUAUGCGGAGGAACACCGAUGGCGAAGGCAAUCCCCUGGGCCUGCACUGACGCUCAUGCACGAAAGCGUGGGGAGCAAACAGG